UUUUUUUUUUUUUUAAUAAUUAUGUCAAAAUAUGAGAUGAAAGAGAAGAGAGAAAGUAUAGCCGGCUAGGCCGGCUUAUGAAGAUGUGGUUUUGGAUAUUUGCUUGAGAAGAAGGGAAGGUCCAACGUCCAACUCCUCCCUUUGCGGUCAAUUUCUUGAAGGGAUAGGCUUUUUCAUCUGCAUCUUCAAUUCUCUCUCUCAAAACUCUCUUUGUGUUUGCCUUACAAUAAUAUUAUAAAACCCCAUAGCUUCUGGUUGUUUAUUUGUGUUUUGUGAGCGUGUUUUCAGUAAUUGUUCACUUUGGCAAUUACAAGAACCUCUAAACAUACUUUCAAAAAAUAAAACCUCAAAAUAAUGGUGGGUUAUGAGGAACAGCUUCUUCCAGGAGGAGAACAGCUCUCCCUUUCUCAACCUGACCCUUUUGUCAUUGAGCUUAAUCGUCUGCAGAAUCUUCAUAAAGGUUUAUGAUUAUUUCUUCUCCUUUUCUUUUGCAUCACACUAGUUCCCUCCCACAAAAAAAACGAGAAUGUUUCUUUUUUCUUUUUUUCUAAAUAACAAUUUAUUUUUUUUGGUCAAGGUGUUGAACCCAUGGGGUCCUGAUAUGCAGUUUGUGGCCUGUAGGGCAAUUGAGAUAACCUUUGUUUUGCUUGGUUUUAUGUUGAGGGUUAGAGAAAGAUAAUCAGGAUCAUGGUGUUCAAAUCUUUAAUGGGUUACUUAUAAAUGAAUUAUUUAUUUAUUUAUUUUUAUUUUUUGCAUUUAGAGAAGGUUUUCCUUGUCUUUUUAUUGUAACAUGAUAUAUUAUGAAGGUGAACUGCUGAUUUGGACUACAGCAGAAUUUGGGUUUUUAACGGUUGGUAGUUAAAACUAGUGGUGCCUAGAGAAAUUAAUGGCUGUGUAGGUAUGGCCAAGUGACAAUUAUUGCCUUGAAACAGAGGAAAGCUAGCCACUUAUUUCUACCAUUUAGAUAGGCAAUUGAUAACCUUAUUAAUUGAUUAAUUGAUAAAAACAGUGGAUGACAACGACGGGCUCUAUUACUAGUUCUGUGGUAUUUACCUUUAUGAUUUUUGACAAACCAACUUGAUUAUUUAAGCUUCCUUGAGUAUUUUUUUAAUAGACUAAGAGUGUAAAUAAAAUAUAGCCAAGCUCUAAUUGGCAGGUUAAGUAUUUUAUUUAUAAUAACAUCAUAUAUGUCAUUAGAAACAAGUAGUCCACUUCUUCCUUUUUCCCCACUUUUCCUAGCUUGUAAGAAUUCAUCAAGAGAGAUGUUUUUCUGGAGAUGUGAUUUAAUAGAAUCAGGGAAUACGAAAAAAAGGAGUAACAACAUAAAAUAUCUUAUGAUGACUUUCAGAGAAAGACAGAGAGUUGGGGGCUGCUCAUGCAGAAAUUAAAGCUUUGAGAACAACAGAAGUUUCAAAGGAUAGGGCUAUAGAAGAGCUCGGGAAUGACGUUAAUAAACUGGAUCAGAAAAUUAGAGACACUGAAAAUCUUCUAGAGCAUAAGAAUCUUGAAAUCAAGAAACUCACUAAUGAAAAGAAAGAUGCAUUAGCUGCACAGUAUGCUGCAGAAUCAACUCUUAGAAGGCUGCAUGCAAAUCUAAAGGAUGAUGAUUCUCUUCCUAUUGAGUCUUUCAUUGCUCCUCUUGAGGCGGAGAUUAAGAUAUAUAAAAGUGAGAUUGCAGCAUUGCACGAGGAUAAGAAGGCAAUGGAACGCCUCAACAAGUCAAAAGAGUCAGCUCUGCUUGAAGCAGAACGGAUCCUGCGAAGUGCUUUAGAAAGGGCUUUGAUGGUAGAGGAGGUUCAAAACCAAAACUAUGAGUUGAAGAGACAGAUAGAAAUCUGCCAGGUGCAACUUCUUUUAAUUGAUAUGUCACUUUUUUCAUGCUCAUAAGGAUCUAGUAAAGAAGAUAAUAUGAGAGUAACAAAUGCAGGAAGAGAACAGAAUUCUGGAGAAAACAAAUCGCCAAAAAGUUUUGGAGGUUGAAAGGCUCAGCCAAACCAUUCAAGAGCUUGAAGAGGCAAUUCUAGCUGGUGGGGCUGCAGCCAAUACUAUCCGUGACUAUAAGCGACAAAUUUCUGAAAUAAAUGAGGAGAAAAGGUUGCUGGAGAGGGAGCUAGCCAGAGCAAAAGUUUCAGCAAACCGAGUAGCGACUGUAGUAGCUAAUGAGUGGAAGGAUGAAAAUGACAAGGUCAUGCCUGUAAAGCAAUGGCUGGAAGAGAGAAGGCUGCUGCAGGCUGAGAUGCAACGACUAAGAGACAAGCUAGUUAUAUCAGAGAGAACAGCCAAGGCAGAAGAACAGCUCAAGGACAAGUUGAUGCUAAGGCUAAAGACACUAGAAGAAGGCUUAAAGCAUGUAUCAAGCUUCUCUAUCAAUUCCCCUAAGCCAGCGAAAACAAGUAACAUUCUAGGAUUUCUAUCAAGUAAUGGAGGACUAAGGAAGAGGUCUUCCUCGCAGCCAAGGGCUUCCACCAUCAGUAGAAGUACUCCUUUGCAGCAGCCAAACAUAGAAAACGAAAAUGCCAAUGCUGCCAGAGAGCUGAAACGAGCUGAUAGCUUCAAAAAGAAAUAUUGUUCUGCAGAAAACAAAUUGAGAAAUAGUCUGUGGGCAUCUAGAAGUAAGGUUACUGACAGCAAUGGCAAGGAAAACACAGAACUGAUGGCAAAUACAGAUGCAAAUAUCGACAAGUAUGAGAAAGAUGAGACAACAAUUUCAACAGAAAUGAAAAACAAAGCUGGUGGCAAUGAGGACUUACAUUGUAUGGGAACUAAAAAUCCUGAAUGUGAAGAUGUAGUUUCAGGGUUUCUGUAUGACAGACUUCAAAAGGAGGUCAUAAAUCUAAGGAAGUCUUGUGAGGCUAACGACAGUAUCUUGGAUGCUAAAGAUCAAGAAAUUCAGAUGCUCAUGAAGAGGGUUAGUGCACUGAACAAAGCCAUUGAAGUAGAGUCGAAGAAAGUGAAGAGAGAAACUGCAGCCAGAGAGAAGGAAGCUGUAUCAGCAAAAGUCGAUCACACCAAAAAGUUUGGGAGUAUGAACUCCACUAGAAGGUAAAUGCAAGUUUCUCGAAGAAUUCUUCGAUCUGAUUGACUUGAAAUCUACCUGAAAUUCAUUUCAUUCUUCAACCUUGUGUUUUGAUUUUUCAAUGUAAACCCGGGACUGCUUCACUGAUGAUAGAUAGUUGAAAUAAAGCUCAGAUUAAAAGCGAAAGCAGUCUGACCUUAUUACCUGAUAGGAUGAAGCUGAAAUGUGAUCAUUUCUGCUUUGAGAUUUACAAGGAUGAUUUCCAAUUUGGUUUGGUUUGUGUAUAUGAAUAAAUAGCAAUACAGGAUUUUCUGAAAAAUGGAAACAAAAUGUUCUACUCAGUGAGGAAUAUGUACAGAAACAGUUUUAUACAAAUAAAAGUCAGCGAGAUAUAUUGGAAAAUUGUAUGUAGACAUGAAUUACAAAAAACAAUUGCACAUCAAAAUUAAAUACCCAUCUUGUUGCCUGCUCUCAUUUUCUCUUUUGUCCUUAGGACAGAUGCAGAAGUUGGUUAUUGAUAAUUAAAUUCCUGUGGUGGUACUCUGUUGGCCUUAAUUAAAUGCAAGCUUAACUGUCCAGCUUCUCAUUCGAUGGUACACAUACAGGGUAUUGUAAGCGAAGGUCAUAGGCUUAACAAUCAAACCCUUCCACUAAAGAACCAAAACUAAAAGCGAAAGAAAACCUUCGAUAUAUAAAUUUGGAGUACACAUCCAGUCCUUGUAAUCGUCUCAAACAAGGCACAGAAAACAAAGAAGAAAAUAAGUAAGAUAUGAAAAACUGCUCAAAUAUGGCAGAAACAGAGGAGGCAAAACAUAGAGAUU
rnacentral:misc_RNA from 1 species